UACGUAGGCAGCAAGCGUUGUUCGGAAUUACUGGGCGUAAAGAGUGUGUAGGCGGUGCUCUAAGUUUGGUGUGAAAUCUCCCGGCUCAACUGGGAGGGUGCGCCGAAUACUGAGUGACUCGAGUGCGGGAGAGGAGAGUGGAAUUCCUGGUGUAGCGGUGAAAUGCGUAGAUAUCAGGAGGAACACCGGUGGUGUAGACGGCUCUCUGGACCGUAACUGACGCUGAGACACGAAAGCGUGGGUAGCAAACAGG
rnacentral:rRNA from 1 species